CGGGGCUUAAAGUCUUGUAAUUGGAAUGAUGGGAAUUUAAACCUCUUCCAGAGUAUCAAUUGGAGGGCAAGUCUGGUGCCAGCAGCCGCGGUAAUUCCAGCUCCAAUAGCGUAUAUUAAAAUUGUUGCAGUUAAAAAGCUCGUAGUUGAAUUUCUGCUGCAUUGCUUGUGUCCCUCUGGGGUCUUUGCAUGUGGCUUUUUUCGGACGGAGUUUCUUUGUCUGAAUGUUUACUUUGAGAAAAUUAGAGUGCUCAAAGCAGGCUUUCGCCUUGAAUAGUUUAGCAUGGAAUAAUAAAGUAGGACUUUGGUUCUAUUUUGUUGGUUUUAGGUACCAAAGUAAUGGUUAAUAGGAACAGUUGGGGGCAUUCGUAUUUAACUGUCAGAGGUGAAAUUCUUAGAUUUGUUAAAGACGAACUACUGCGAAAGCAUUUGCCAAGGAUGUUUUCAUUAAUCAAGAAC
rnacentral:rRNA from 1 species